UUUUUUAUUGCAAAAAAGCCCCAAACUCUUUCUCAAACAAGUCUACUUUUAAAAAAUC
rnacentral:tRNA from 1 species